ensembl:lncRNA
GCUCGUGCAGCACAGGGGGAAAAACAGCCGGCUUCAGAAAGUAAACUUAGGGAUGCACACUGACCUUGACUCUUCCCUGGACGUGGAACGGUAAUUUCGAAGGCGAGUUAACCUGAAAAGGCUGAAAAAAAUGCACAGGAGGCUUGAGAGCAGUCCAAUGUUGAGGAACUAUCCAGAACAGAUAGAGAUGGCACACGGGAGAAUAUGAGCCACACCUCUCAAAAGGUGCAUCCAAAUACAGUGAACGGUCGUCACUAGAAGUGUUUCUCUUUCUCUUUUGAUGCAGUCGCACACAUGCAGACAGUAUCGGUGUUGGCAAGGUAUCAGUGAUGGCACGGCGCCAAGCCGAGGCUAUCGAGUCAUGCUGUGCAAAAGCCCUGUAAUGCAAUCAGGGCGAGUGCAGCACUGUCACAAGGGACAACUGCUAAGAGCUCUUUCCCUCGCUCUCCGUCUCUAGCUCGCUCGCUUUUCAGUCAGGGUAGGUGGAGCAGGAGAGACCAGACCUAUACGGCCUCACGUUAACCUGAGGAAUUACACGGGACAGCGGCGGCAUUUCACAGCUUGCCUCUAGUCUCUCUCUCCUCCUACACACUCGGACCCUGCUGGAACGCCGAGUCCACGUCCAAAAGACCGAAAACUCGAUACACCCGGGAAAACAAAUCCUCAGACCCGGUUAAUAAAAAAUGCGUGGUCGUUUAGGACACGCCGGUGUUCCUCAAACCCGGAUUUACAUUUGCAGGCUUUGUCAGAUGCUUUUAGAAGUGCUUUGUAGUUUCUAACCAAAACUUUAAAAAAAUUGUAACUCCAAACCCUGUUAGAGAAGAGUUAGGAUUUUUUUGUGCUUAUUUAAAUUUGUGAUUUUUUUUUUUUAAAUGUAAUGCUUUUUCAACUAAGAUGCUUUAACUCUAAAACUAGGCUGAACGGUUUAUGUGCUUUACAAGGGGACACAUAGGAUUUAAUAAUAAACUUCUUGUUGACGGAGACUAACUGUUCCUAUCAAACGUACAGAAUUAAUUCAAGGGGAAUUUGGAUAAAUGUGAAUGAAAAUGAGAGGAAAAUUGGAAGCAUGUUAGUUGGGAAUCCAGCUUUUACCUGCUCAAAUAUUGUAUACGCAGAAUAUAAACAAGCAAGAUGGGCGCUCGCAGACUGAGAGCACGUGUCUGAUAUAAAUCCCGUGAGAGAGUUCACAGUGAACAGACGACCGAAUCCUAGUGGCUGAAGACAAAUUGAGGGCCGUGAUCCCUGACUUAUCGUGACUAGUGCAAUGCACAUAAGGAUUCAGACCUUACCACGUGAGACUUUACACCAGUGUUUCACCUGCUGAUCCAAAUCAUCCCACAAGUUUGCUGCGACUUCCAGUGGUCUCAGUGUUCAAUAACGCUCGCUAAACAUACAGAUUUGUCUCCAUACGCCAUGCUCGCCACGCCAUCGUCAUCCUAUAAUAUGGAAGAGUCUGGACCCGAAGCUCAAAAUAAUAAGAAUAAUAAUAAUAAAAUAAAAGUACAACAAACUGAAGGUUUGCCUUUAUGCUAAAUUAACUACUGAAGAAAAAGAAAAACAGAAAUAAUCCCAGAAAGAAAGAAUCGCAGAAAGAAAGAGCCACAGAAAGAAACCCAGAAAGACAGAGUCCCAGAAAGAAGAAUCCCAGAAAGAAAGAAAGAGCUACAGAAAGAAAGAAUCCCAGAAAGAAGAAGAAAGAAGCUACAGAAGAAAGAAAGAGCUACAGAAAGAAAGAAUCCCAGAAAGACAGAAAGAAAGAAAGAAUCCCAGAAAGAAAGAAAGAAUCCCAGAAAGAAAGAAAGAAUCCCAGAAAGAAAAUAAGAGCCACAGAAAGAAAGAAAGAAUCCCAGAAGAAAGAAUCCCAGAAAGAAGAAAGAAAGAAAGAAUCCCAGAAAGAAAAGAAUCCCAG